GUAAUCAUGAGGAACCCUCUGGCUUUCUGGUUUUUCUGUAUUUCGUUGGUGGGAGCACUGUCAAAGGACACUUGUGUGACAGAUGCUGACUGCACAUGCACCACUGGUCUUAUUCCCCACUGUCACAACGGAAAGUGUCACUGUCAUCACAGUACUCACGAGUGUAACCACCCGUACGACUGCACGUGCGAGCCUGGUCAACACGCCACGUGCGACCAUCAUCUCUGUCACUGCCAUUCACACGUGCAGUAAAUGUGCAAUCUGAAUGAAAGUACUACAGAAAUUCGUUAUGGAAGAAAAUAAUGACUGACUGAAAUAA